rnacentral:rRNA from 1 species
GAGUUUGAUCCUGGCUCAGGACGAACGCUGGCGGCGCGCCUAACACAUGCAAGUCGAACGAGCGAGAGGAGGUUUACUUUCUCAAGCGAGUGGCGAACGGGUGAGUAACGCGUGAGGAACCUGCCUCAAAGAGGGGGACAACAGUUGGAAACGACUGCUAAUACCGCAUAAGCCCACGACCUGGCAUCGGGUAGAGGGAAAAGGAGCAAUCCGCUUUGAGAUGGCCUCGCGUCCGAUUAGCUAGUUGGUGAGGUAAUGGCCCACCAAGGCGACGAUCGGUAGCCGGACUGAGAGGUUGAACGGCCACAUUGGGACUGAGACACGGCCCAGACUCCUACGGGAGGCAGCAGUGGGGAAUAUUGCACAAUGGGGGAAACUCUGAUGCAGCGAUGCCGCGUGAGGGAAGAAGGUUUUAGGAUUGUAAACCUCUGUCUUCAGGGACGAAAAAAGACGGUACCUGAGGAGGAAGCUCCGGCUAACUACGUGCCAGCCGCCGCGGUAAUAC